ACACCAUAUGGUCAGGGAGAAAGGGACCAGAAAAAGAUGAGGAAGGCAUGGCAGCAGAAGCUGAUCAGAAGACAAAAUGGAUUGAAUGGAAACAGAGGGGCCAGGUUUAGCUGAUGUUGGCACCUAACUACUGCUGCCGGACAGUUGACGUUUCAGUUGUGAGAAGAUGGAUGCUUGGGUCUCUCUGUAGAAGCCGAACAAGCUGCGUGCUGGUUUGCACUUGGACUCUUGGAGGCACCGUGCAUGUGCUGAACCCGGCUGUCGCUGAAGCCAACCUUCCCAGUCACCGGGAAAUAUUCUUCUGCUGCGGCAAGGUUUCCCCGGCCGGCGCGUUUCUUCUUUGGGUGUUAUUAGGGGGUUUUCUCCAUGGGUUUUCUCCAUGUGGGAAGAAAAACACGAAAGCAGCCAGCCUUACUAGAAAGACCGCUGCCUUGGAGUAAUUUUAGUCUCUCGGUGUCUCCCGCUGCCUGCCCCGGCUGCAGACAUCCCCGUUCAGCUGGGCUAACAGGUGCUCAGCCCCGUCUGAGCACUGCCGCUCGGCCCCGGCGGACGCGGCGCGGCUCCCGGCGCUCCGCGCCCCCGCCAUGUGUAUUGGCAGCUGUUAAGGGGCAGACACAAGCUCCUUUAACAACUGCACAUAAUUCAGAUGACUGCUCCGGAGAUGUUGCUGUCUAAAUUAAUGAAUUCACUUCUAGGCAAUUGCUAAUUGAACGAAAAUAUAAGAGAGAGUAAAUAGUACGUGAGUAUAUGCGCUCUGACUGCAUCUGUACUUUUUAAUGAGACGAACUUCCUGCAAUUUCAAUGCAACUCGGAAAGAUUUCCUUUAGUGUUAUAAUGCAGUUUGUGAGUGUGGUCGCACUUCAGUAAUGACAGCUCGGACAAAGACAGCACAGGGCAGCAACUGUCAUGUUAGCUGCCACUGCGAAGACAAAUGGGAAAGUAGCUGUAAAGGAUACAGAAAUAUGGAAGCGUUAUUUCCAAAUGCAAAUGUUCUGCUCGAGAUGAGGGAUAGAGGAGGACAGUAUUUCUUCCAAAAUAUGUGCCUGAUUCAACAAAAUGCUUAAAUAUAUGACUGCUGUUGAUUUCAAUGAAGAUGGAAGAGAGCAUCAUCAGCUCAUAUCUGGCCAUAGGCCUACACUGUAUACAAUCUAUUUUGUGUCCUGUAGCACAAUAAAAGUAUUUCUACAACUAAAAAUUAAUUCCAUUGAAAACAGAUGCUUUAGAAUAAAUAGACAUACUUCCUUAGUAGUUGCAACCUCGACAUUUCGCAGUUAACCACUGAAAACUCAAAAAGGCCAAACAAAAGUUGAAAUAUCUUUGCUGAUAAAAAUUCAGCACAGAUGGAAUUUGUGGGAAACUGAGUGACUACAAAGAAUAUGCAUGGGUCUGGUAGGGUGUAUUAAAAAAAACAGACGAUGUAAUGUGAGGUUUCGAUAACAAAGCAAUCAGAAUAAACAGGAAUGAAAUAUACUUUUAGAAUUAUUGCACAUUAUUUUGAGACCAAUGCUAAGAAAGGCAAAAGUCCCUAAUUAAUUCUGGAAUUAUGAUGGAUAUGGUAUAGGGAUGAACUUUGGGGAGCAGUUGGAUUCAUCUACAUGAGCUCCAGGAAGGGAAAUCAUAAAGUGAAGUUCUGUUUAGCAGCACCCGUCUUCAUGUCAUCCCUGGGCCAGGGCGUUUAUUAGGAAUGUGAUUUUAUUUAUCAGCUUUUCUCCCCAUCCUCAAUGGCUGAUAUUGUUGCAGCAAGGAAAUCCUUGUGACUUUCAGAUCAGCAGCAGUAGCAUUGGAGAUACUUAUGGAUGAUGAUGGACUAGAAGCUGUUUCAUGCUUGCUGUGUUCGUUCUUAAUAUUCAGUUUCCUCAUCUAUUUUAUACUAAACUCAAUUGAUUUAUUGGUUAAAUUAUAAGGGUCAAAAGAACUGAAUUGUGUUUUGGAGCCUUUCCACUAGCUGGUAAGUUUUUCAAUAAACUAUUUAUAAUCCCUUUUCCACCUCUGUAAAAUAGAAACUACUUGUCCAAAAAAACCACAUUGUUGCUGAAUUUGAAACUAGAACAUUUUUAUGCAUCUGAAAUAGUUUAUCGCUUUAUCUUCUGGCCGAGUUUAGAUAAAGCUAUGGCUUUUCUUUCAUUCUGAAUGAACGAAUGUUAAUAUUUGCUAGGAGCUGUUCCCACGAUGGACACAACCAAGAGGAAUGCAGAAAAGCCACUUGAAUUUCCUCGCAGUGCUAACACAGAACUUUCCUUAAGUAAAAUUCUGGAGAAGACUAACAAGUGUCCACUCUUGUAAGAGUGGGACACGCUCAGUUCUUCAGAGAGCUCCUAGCUUUGACUGCUCAGAUUUUGGAAUGAUUCAGUGCAGAAAUAACAAGUCUCUUUCCUAAUCGAGACUUAUUUGGAUUUUUCUUUUUUUCCUUUUCCCCACUUGAAAUUCCCUGGGUCUUUUAACUAUUUAACAAUAUGUUACUAACUAUCCAUUAUGGCCUGCUUUAUUUUCUCUUAGAUGAAAGAGCCAUGUAAGAAAGAGAAUUCUCCAAACCCUCAUGACUGAAUUUGAGAGAUAACGUCAAUGGAAUUAACACGUUGUCGUCGUUGAAUGGUCUCCCGUGGCUAUAUAAACAUCAAGGAUCUCCUGAACAAAUAGAAGACAGCCCUUCUGAAGAACAGGAGUUGUAGAGCCCUUCUGCAUCUCCUCUUUAGGGUCCUUCAGGAUGUAUCAAGCUCCAGGAAAGCCGUACACAGAUGGCUCACAGCAGCAGUGCCAAUGCAGGCACCAGCCUUGUGACAGCUGCAGCUUUGGCCAACAGCUAAAAUCGCCAAUGCUAAUGCCAGUGAAGUCCUCCUUCCAACUACAGAUGGCUUCUGCAGCAGGUCCAUCUUUCUCUGGAGAAUAAGGGGCUCUGGGAAUAAUUCUGUGCACUUGGUGCUGAACUGCUCAUCAGCAAAGCUGGCAGGUGUAUGCUGCUAACGACUGGGUUCGGGCCUGGACCCUCGCUCUGUCUACCUGGUGCUGAUGGACAUAGUUUGUUUGGACAAUGUCCAUUACAUGUGGCACUGUGACCAGUGAGAAGCUGCUGAGAAAGAUGAUCUCCGCUUCCCCAGGCACUUCUCUCUCCAUCCGGAUUCUCCAGCUCCUGGGAGCCACGUGAAGAAAGAACCAAUCUGCUUCCAGAGAGUUAAGAUCACCCGUAAAGCUCUGGAGCAGUGUGGUCACGUAAGAGAAGCCUGGACAUUUCACUCUGCUUGAAUCUGUAUCAAAGGUGUGGUGCUGUAAACCACAGUCCACAAUCCAUAAGUAACCAUGGUGACAUUGCGCUGGGAAGCAGUCUGUUACGCCAAUGUACUGUUCACGUGCCAGGAGAACGUUCCCCCAGAACUCAUGUAAUAUUAAUGGCAAUUGUAUGCUUUCAGAGAAUCAUAAGAGACGAACAAGUAUCUCAGAGCCUUCUCUGCUGCUUUUGUCGAGGCAGGAUUGUUCCCUGCAGUACCACAGAUUUGUGCAAAAAUUAUUUAAAAGUCUAAUGCAAAAAGACCUUUGUUACUCUGUGAAUGUGCCCUUGCACAGCUCACUGCUGAUAUGUUUUUUUUCCUGGAUACUCAAAUUGCUUCUCUCUCAUUUUCAGCUCUAAUAUUCAUGUUAAUUAUACCCCUUUGUAGCAUAUUAAUUCCUCUGUCAUCUGUAUGUUUACCCCCUGCAGACAUGUGCAGACUUAUAUGUUCAUUUCUCCCUGAUGCAGAGCUAUCAGUCAACUAAGCUCAUUUUUUCUGAUAUUUGGUCCAUCCAGACUCCCUUCAGUUCAGCAGUAGCUUUAAUAGUAAGGUUAUAAGGAUUAAAUCCAGUUCUACCAGCUUGUUUCACAGCAUACCAACAGAAAAAAAGCUCUGCUGCUUCCCUGCUCAACUAUAUGCUAUUUUCACAUAUGCAUCCUGUAGUUAUAUUUGACUUCUUUUGUUUUUCUGAAAGCAAAAGCAUUGAACUUACUGCUGGAAACUGUGUAAAAUAUCUCUAUAUUGUGGCCUCCUACAUAUUACUGCUUGUUUUAUACAUGGGGACAGCUGAGCAUUGGGGUGUUCAGAAGAAAAGUUUAACUGAUAUUGAACAACUCUCAGGGGAAGAUCUGGGGAGAGAGAAAAGAGCACAAGUUAGCAAUUCCUCUGUGAACACCUCUUUGUCCAUAUGGUGAGCAGAGAGGAGGAGAAGAGGAAUAGCUCCAUCUGGGAGAGGAAAUAUUGAGAGAGAGAGGUCAGAAAGAAAUAAGGGAAGAUGGGACCACAGAUGGGCUUAGAUUUGAGAUUUUUGCUUCCAGAUUUCUGGUGGUCUAAACCAGUCCUUCCAAGAUGCUGUCAGUAACCUGUCCAUGCUGUCCUCUAGAGCACAAGUGCUCUUUAAAGCUGGUAGGCUCCCUCUGGCCCAUGAGCAGUUAUUUAAAAAUGAAGCCAAAUACGAGCAACUCUUCCAAACAAACAGCUGACUGUGGGGAAGAAAGCAGAUUUAAUGAUACUUUCCAGUCCUCCUGAUUGCUUAUGUUGUCUUUGGCUUCAGAUUAUUUUGCACUUGAUACACGAAGACCCGUCCUGGCUCGGUGUAGUGCUGACCGGCACGCGUGCCUGUGCUUUGCCUGGAACAUGGUAGCUUCCUUUGUGUUCCCAGAAGUGACUUUUAUGGUUGUGACUGACAAUCAGAAUCCCCAGGUGACCUUUUUUCUCUCCUUCUUUUCACUCCGUCCAUCUUUGACUUUGCACGAGACAAAGGAGCAUCUCGAUGCAAAAUGUGCAUGAGCAGGAGCAGAGAGAUGGGCAGAAGUUUGGACUCUGUUACAAAGUUUGCUUGUGUUUAUUAACAUAAUUGAUCAUUUUUACUACUUUAAACAUAUUAAACCCCCAAAAUCCUGCCAUGAAAUUUUGCCACGUUUGUCUGGUGGAAGACCUUGAAACCUCGGACCGUUGCAGUAUAUGACUUUAACAGCAAAGGCCAUAUGGGGAGGAGCACUAGGGCAUCCAGUCUAGCCUUUUGCUUGUCACGGGCCACUAAAUUUCCUCGAGAUAUCCAGAUAGGGAGCCAUGACUUCCAGUAGCUUGAAUUGCAGUAAAGCAGUGAAAUCCCCAGGAGAUUUAACUUGUGUGUUACUAGCCAAGCUCAGGAGAGUGUGAGGUGUCAGUAAUGCACGUCUCCCUUUGCGAUGGCACGGGCUCGAUUUAGGUGAGGUAGGCAGCGAACGGGGCAGGCAGAAUCCCUUCCUGUCUCCACACUUGGCAGUAAUUUUUAUCCUCACUCUGCACAGCAUAUAGCAACCAGACAUUGUGUCAGCUCACUGUAGCUGCUGGCAUACUGAUGAAGUAAUUUUGGGAAAAUUGCAUAACACGUUGCAAUUUCACAGCUGUUUCUAGCAUGUGCUAUUGAUCUGUUCCUUUUUAUGAUAUGUGGAGAUUCCUCCUGAGACUCAGACUAAAAUGUAUACCACACUCUAAGUAUGCCAUCCAAAAGAGGGUCCGCUUGGUGACAAAAAUGAGAAAGCCAGUAAGGUUUGUAAGGGUCAGUUUAAUUUUUUAUUGUCUCAGAAAUCCGUAUUUGUUUAAAAUGCUGGACAGGUUAGCUUUAGCUAGCACUGUUUGGGCAGUAAUGUUCCCAGAUGGAUUUGUCCAAGAAUAUUUCUCUGCCCCCUGGAUGUUUGGCCUGAGUUCCUGCAGAAAUGAGGCUUGUGUGAUUCUGCUGCCUGUUUUUCCCUUUUAGUAGUUUUUUUUAAUCCCCUUUCCUGCUUUCAGCCCAAGUUGGCAGCGGUGUAGCAGUCACACAGACAAGUUAGUUCCUAUAGGUUUCUUGAAAAUGUCUGAAGGAGUGGUUGCAGUGUGAGUGAACACAAUAGUAGACACCAGAGAAUCCAAAGAGGACUGCUUCUUUCUAAGUGCCUUAGUCAUGAGAAAAGCAUCAGUCAAAGCUUAGGAGGGCCGCAAGGUGCACACUGCAGCAAGUACGCAGGGGUGAGUCCUUUCUUGCACCCGGUGAUAAUCCGACUUCUUCUCCUCUGUGUUGCAGCGGGAGGAAGCGCCGAAGCCCCGAGCUAGCGAAGCAAGCUGGUAGCAGGGAGGCUGCUGCGAGCUGCCUGGCGGUGAGUCCAGACCUGUGCCGAGGCACGGCAAACUCUCGCUGAACUGGACUCCAGCAGUAGCUCCCCAUAGCAACUUAAACCAGAAACCCCAGUAUUACGGGGUAGUAAAACCAGUGACCCCAUUGCUGAUAACCGUCUAAUCUGUGCUCAGAGGGGACGCUUGCUGUCAGAUGCAAGUUCCAUUUCCUCCUGCGUGCUCCCCAGCGCUCUUAGCAGAAUUUAAGUAUUUCUAGUGAAUUGACAUUGUACUGUUCUCUGUAUCUCCCUUCGUUCAGCAGGCAUAGGUGAGCUUUUAAAGUGCCAGUCAUUUAAAUACGGUUUUCCCAUUGCCAAAGCAAAAGUCGUGUUUUUAAGAAUGAUACUUAAUGUGUGUGUUAGUGGUUGCCCGGGUUAGAGAGGAAAAGAAAUCUAAGUCAUUUGUGCAUCAGCAGAUGAAAUCGAGUAUUUUCAGGGUAAUACAAUCAUCACACACUUCUAUCAUCGUCAGUCCAAGCAGAGCCUGUCUGCGUAGCUGUCCGGAUGGCUCAAAGCCAUGGGUGACCCCUUGCUUUCUCAAGGAAUUGCAGCUGAUGUAUUAAAUCAUUCAAGUGCCUGAUGUUCUUAACAACUGAAAAGCAUUUGUCUGCUCUAGGAGGGCUAAUUUUUAAUUUAUUUUUUUUAGACACAUCUAUCCAAAAUGAUGCUAGGCUUUUAUAUUCACAGCAGGGAACCCUGUGAGCUUUAAAUAUCCCUUUAAUCACCAAGGAUGUAAUAAAAACAAAAAGAGUUCUUUGAGCUGCAGAGUGUUACCUAGGGAAAAAUCUACUCUGGAGCUUACAAAUGUGAGCUGAAGAGACAAACUGGGCAAUAAAAUCCACAGCUACGGACCAAACCGGCUAAAAGUUGGUCUGUAGCUGCCCAUCAGGAGCUGCGACUUGGAGGGGGAAAAAAGCCAUUCAGCACCUCUGGAGCCAUAAGAGCCCGGUCAUAAACACUUCACAAUCUGCUGGGGAGGGGGAGGGAGCCGGGCCUGUGAUCUCGCCCGGGGUUUGUACCCGGCCCGCGACCGCGACGGGGAAUGAGCCUGAGGAAUUUGCUAAUAUGAGAAAAACAGAGGAAAAAUCUAGACAAACCAGAGAUUGCUGGAAAAAGACUAUGCAGUAGCGGUGUUUGAUUAUGUAAAUUCGUGUGCAUUUAUGACUGCCUUGUCCCGCUGCAGGAGCCUCUGAAAGCUGACAGGUGCUUUUUUUUUUUUUCCUCCCCUCUAUUACUGAUUAUAUGCAAGAAAUCUCAUCAGCGUUUUAUUACUGUGGACACCAGUAUCAUUUUGCCACCAGGUGGGUGAGAAAAAGUAUAGCUCAGAGUUUAUCCAAGGACUUUCUGCUUAAAAUGAAUACAUAUUUCCAGCUCUUUGUUACUGGCUUCAGACUUUCCUACAGGUUAUGUGUAUCCCGUCGUAGUGCUCUGUAUCAGCUUUGAGAAACUGUCUUGGAGGAUGCGCUGUGCGAAUCGGUCUUGGCAUUCGUUCUGGUGUCCGGGAGAGCUGC